GUCAGUGUGGCCGAGCGGUCUAAGGCGCCAGACUCAAGAUAAUCUUGCCUCUGUAAGAGGAUUGAGCGAUCUGGUACACGUAUGUGUGCGUGGGUUCGAACCCCACCGCUGACA
rnacentral:tRNA from 2 species